UACGAAGGGGGCUAGCGUUGUUCGGAAUUACUGGGCGUAAAGCGCGUGUAGGCGGGUCUUUAAGUCAGGGGUGAAAUGCCAAGGCUCAACCUUGGAACUGCCUUUGAUACUGGAGAUCUUGAGUCCGGGAGAGGUGAGUGGAACUGCGAGUGUAGAGGUGAAAUUCGUAGAUAUUCGCAAGAACACCAGUGGCGAAGGCGGCUCACUGGCCCGGAACUGACGCUGAGACGCGAAAAGCGUGGGGAGCAACAGG
rnacentral:rRNA from 1 species